UACGAAGGGGGCUAGCGUUGCUCGGAAUUACUGGGCGUAAAGCGUGCGCAGGCGGCUUCUCAAGUCAGGGGUGAAAGCCCAGAGCUUAACUCUGGAAUUGCCUUUGAGACUGAGAGGCUUGAGUACGGGAGAGGUGAGUGGAAUUCCCAGUGUAGAGGUGAAAUUCGUAGAUAUUGGGAAGAACACCGGUGGCGAAGGCGGCUCACUGGCCCGUAACUGACGCUCAUGCACGACAGCGUGGGGAGCAAACAGG
rnacentral:rRNA from 1 species